UACGUAGGGACCAAGCGUUGUUCGGAUUUACUGGGCGUAAAGGGCGCGUAGGCGGCGCGGUAAGUCACUUGUGAAAUCUCUGAGCUUAACUCAGAACGGCCAAGUGAUACUGCAGUGCUAGAGUGUGGAAGGGGCAAUCGGAAUUCUUGGUGUAGCGGUGAAAUGCGUAGAUAUCAAGAGGAACACCUGAGGUGAAGACGGGUUGCUGGGACGUAACUGACGCUGAGACGCGAAAGCGUGGGGAGCAAACAGG
rnacentral:rRNA from 1 species